rnacentral:rRNA from 1 species
AACUUUCAACAAUGGAUCUCUUGGCUCUGGCAUCGAUGAAGAACGCAGCGAAAUGCGAUAAGUAGUGUGAAUUGCAGAAUUCAGUGAAUCAUCGAAUCUUUGAACGCACAUUGCGCCCCUUGGUAUUCCGGGGGGCAUGCCUGUUCGAGCGUCAUCU